CUGCCAAAAUGGCUUCACCCCUUGGUUAGACGCACAACCGACGGACCAAGAACCAGCUGCGAACCGUUAAUGUUCGUAAUCAGUUUGUACAACUAGUUGGUAGAUUCGUUUGCGAUCGAUAGACCGAGGCCUGCGUGGUUCUUGUACAGAUUUUCUGACGGACCUCAAAGAAACACCGCUCCAACUGCCACCCCCGUAUAGAAAGAGAAUUUAGGUAAAAUUCCAUAAGUAUCCUAAAUUAUAUGGUAGAAUGCAUCGAUGUCGAACGGUCCUGUUUUAAAUGGAGCCCUGGCCAGUAGCUGAAAGUAUUUGCCAAAACGACGCUUCGCCUAUAAUGAAAAUAGAGCCUAAGCCACUGCCCAAAGUACGAAAUUGGAUUUCGAGGCGGAGCUUGCGUGGCCAAAUAAUCCCACCCGUUUUACAACUAUUGCCAAUGGAAAGAUCUGCCAAAACAACGUUUACCGUGCGUUGGUCGAAUCGUACCACGCAAACAUCUACACGAGAGAAAAUAAUCGAAAUGGAAGUUUUUCGAUUCGAACCAGAAAUUAGUAAUAACGAGUUACACUUUCCAAUUGACGCUUGAAAUCAAAAGCACGCGAAAACGUUGUCGUUCAUUGGAAACGCGAUGUUCGAUCAGUCCACGAUUCAACCAACUGAAACAAGAUCUCAACUCGUUAGUACUCACCUUGGCGAAGUCGAUCUUGAGUGUGCAACAACCAGAGUAUAUGUCUGCUCCGUGAAGUGUCUCCUUCGCCCUGGUUGCCGA